AACGAACGCUGGCGGCAGGCUUAACACAUGCAAGUCGAGCGAUUCUCUUCGGAGAAGAGCGGCGGACGGGUGAGUAACGCGUGGGUAACCUGCCCUGUACACACGGAUAACAUACCGAAAGGUAUGCUAAUACGAGAUAAUAUGCUUUUAUCGCAUGGUAGAAGUAUCAAAGCUCCGGCGGAACAGGAUGGACCCGCGUCUGAUUAGCUAGUUGGUAAGGUAACGGCUUACCAAGGCGACGAUCAGUAGCCGACCAGAGAGGGUGAUCGGCCACAUUGGAACUGAGACACGGUCCAAACUCCUACGGGAGGCAGCAGUGGGGAAUAUUGCACAAUGGGCGAAAGCCUGAUGCAGCAACGCCGCGUGAGCGAUGAAGGCCUUCGGGUCGUAAAGCUCUGUCCUCAAGGAAGAUAAUGACGGUACUUGAGGAGGAAGCCCCGGCUAACUACGUGCCAGCCGCCGCGGUAAGAC
rnacentral:rRNA from 1 species